rnacentral:rRNA from 1 species
AGCUUGCUCCCGGAUGUUAGCGGCGGACGGGUGAGUAACACGUGGGUAACCUGCCUGUAAGACUGGGAUAACUCCGGGAAACCGGAGCUAAUACCGGAUAGUUCCUUGAACCGCAUGGUUCAAGGAUGAAAGACGGUUUCGGCUGUCACUUACAGAUGGACCCGCGGCGCAUUAGCUAGUUGGUGAGGUAACGGCUCACCAAGGCGACGAUGCGUAGCCGACCUGAGAGGGUGAUCGGCCACACUGGGACUGAGACACGGCCCAGACUCCUACGGGAGGCAGCAGUAGGGAAUCUUCCGCAAUGGACGAAAGUCUGACGGAGCAACGCCGCGUGAGUGAUGAAGGUUUUCGGAUCGUAAAGCUCUGUUGUUAGGGAAGAACAAGUGCAAGAGUAACUGCUUGCACCUUGACGGUACCUAACCAGAAAGCCACGGCUAACUACGUGCCAGCAGCCGCGGUAAUACGUAGGUGGCAAGCGUUGUCCGGAAUUAUUGGGCGUAAAGGGCUCGCAGGCGGUUUCUUAAGUCUGAUGUGAAAGCCCCCGGCUCAACCGGGGAGGGUCAUUGGAAACUGGGAAACUUGAGUGCAGAAGAGGAGAGUGGAAUUCCACGUGUAGCGGUGAAAUGCGUAGAGAUGUGGAGGAACACCAGUGGCGAAGGCGACUCUCUGGUCUGUAACUGACGCUGAGGAGCGAAAGCGUGGGGAGCGAACAGGAUUAGAUACCCUGGUAGUCCACGCCGUAAACGAUGAGUGCUAAGUGUUAGGGGGUUUCCGCCCCUUAGUGCUGCAGCUAACGCAUUAAGCACUCCGCCUGGGGAGUACGGUCGCAAGACUGAAACUCAAAGGAAUUGACGGGGGCCCGCACAAGCGGUGGAGCAUGUGGUUUAAUUCGAAGCAACGCGAAGAACCUUACCAGGUCUUGACAUCCUCUGACAACCCUAGAGAUAGGGCUUUCCCUUCGGGGACAGAGUGACAGGUGGUGCAUGGUUGUCGUCAGCUCGUGUCGUGAGAUGUUGGGUUAAGUCCCGCAACGAGCGCAACCCUUGAUCUUAGUUGCCAGCAUUCAGUUGGGCACUCUAAGGUGACUGCCGGUGACAAACCNGAAGAAAGGUGGGNAUGACGUCCAAUCAUCAUGCCCCUUA